UACGUAGGGUCCGAGCGUUGUCCGGAAUUACUGGGCGUAAAGGGCGCGUAGGCGGCCAGCACAAGUCAGUUGUGAAAUCUCCGAGCUUAACUCGGAAAGGUCAACUGAUACUGUGCGGCUAGAGUGCGGAAGGGGCAACUGGAAUUCUUGGUGUAGCGGUGAAAUGCGUAGAUAUCAAGAGGAACACCUGCGGCGAAGGCGGGUUGCUGGGCCGACACUGACGCUGAGGCGCGAAAGCCAGGGGAGCGAACGGG
rnacentral:rRNA from 1 species